CCUACGGGGAGCAGCAGUGGGGAAUAUUGGGCAAUGGAGGCAACUCUGACCCAGCAACGCCGCGUGAAUGAUGAAGGUCUUCGGAUUGUAAAGUUCUUUUCUAAGGGAAGAAGAAAGUGACGGUACCUUAGGAAUAAGCCUCGGCUAACUACGUGCCAGCAGCCGCGGUAAUACGUAGGAGGCAAGCGUUAUCCGGAAUGACUGGGCGUAAAGGGUGCGUAGGUGGUUUGACAAGUUAGUAGCGCAACUCCGGGGCUCAACUUCGGAACUACUACUAAAAUUGUUGGGCUUGAGUGCAGGAGAGGCAGGCGGAAUUGCUGGGGGAGGGGGGAAAGGCGUAGAGAUAGGGAGGAAAAGCAGGGGCGAGGGCGGAU
rnacentral:rRNA from 1 species